GGAUGAGAGAGUGAUCUGGCUGUAACAUGUCACCCUGCUAAACUGCAGGGUUGAGUCAGCUGAUCUGGCUGGCUUGGCAGUUGUCUGCUUUCCCUCACUGAUCCGUGUGAGUCCCUCUCAAAGCUGCAUGCUUGGUCAAACAUGACAACCUUUCCCAAUCGGAGAUCAUUCUUCAGUCAAGGGCACAUGGGUAGCUGCAACCCCCCGCCCCCGCUGGAACCUCCAGUCAAGCUCUCGAGAUAUUGUGAAGGUAAAUGAGUUCACUUGUUCUUCUCCAUCCUCAUCAUUCCACCAGUCUGGACUGGCCUGA
rnacentral:snRNA from 1 species